rnacentral:rRNA from 1 species
CAGUCGCCGCGGGAAUACGUAGGUGGCAAGCGUUGUCCGGAAUUAUUGGGCGUAAAGGGCUCGCAGGCGGUUUCUUAAGUCUGAUGUGAAAGCCCCCGGCUCAACCGAGGAGGGUCAUUGGAAACUGGGAAACUUGAGUGCAGAAGAGGAGAGUGGAAUUCCACGUGUAGCGGUGAAAUGCGUAGAGAUGUGGAGGAACACCAGUGGCGAAGGCGACUCUCUGGUCUGUAACUGACGCUGAGGAGCGAAAGCGUGGGGAGCGAACAGGAUUAGAUACCCCUGUAGUCCCUGUCUCUUAUAC